UUCUCAGCAUUGAUGACUUUCGUGAAUUUGUAGCCUCCAAACUUUUCACCUGCAGUUUUGCAAGGAUUUGGCAUGCAAUGGUUCAAUGCUUAGAAAAGUAAAAGAUGAUAUGAUUUAAGCAGUUUGUUGAUCCCUUUUCCAGGUUUAUCUUCAAGUGGCCUUUCAAAGUCACACAGUGCUUACCAGCAAUUCUUAGGAGCUCAUCUAUUGAAGCAGGUGAAAAAUUUGGAACAACAGGAAUGCAAGUGAAAGACAGCAUACAAAAUUCCGGGUACAGCUGGUCCACUGAACCACUAAGUUGGUCAUGUUUCCAAUGAGGUUGGAAGUGGAAGUGUUAAAAAGGUAAACAGGGCCAUGGAAUUUCUCAUCCUGUUAGCACAAGAAAAGGAAGCAAAACAGGAGAAAUAGACGAAGUAACUAGAAACCAGAGGGCAGUGGAAGUGGCAGGCAUGAAUCUUGUACUAUGCAGUUGCUGUGAUGAAUUUCGGAGAGAUAGAAAGAGAAGGAUGAAAAAAGAUGGAAAGUGACAAUGGUGGUGAACUGAUGCUUCUGGUGGGAGCUCCAUCAUCAAAGCUUGUGGAGAUGUAAGUGAUAUAUAGAAGGUUUUGGUUUGGUUGGACAAAUUUGAAUGAAAAUGUAUUGGGCAAAGGAGAUUUCAGUUGUGGAUGCCACAUGGACCAAUUGCACCUUUGUUUAGAGGUAUGACACUUUUCUAUCUUUUUAAAUUAGUUUAUUCUUUUAUUUUCCAGGAAAAUAAAAUACAGGUAGUGUAAUCAAGGUUUAUUGUGAAUAGGGUAGCCCAGAAAAAUACUUAUUUAAUUUACAUGAUAAGAAGUUAGGAACCAAGAUUGUGAGGUCCCCUAAGGUUUCCUUUGAAGAUUCUUUCCGUGUGAGUUAUGGUUGGGGCUGCUUGCUUUUGCCCACUUUCAAAAAUUUAACGGAUAGCAGCAAAAUGAAUUUGAGAGGACAUUUAAUUAUAGAUGACUUUUUCUUUGAUUGUAUCUGCAUAUAAGAGAUGGGAUUCGAUUGUCUGCUGUUUGAUGGUUUCAAAUUCAGUGAAUUGUUUCAUCAA